rnacentral:ncRNA from 1 species
AGAGAGAUAAAAACACAGUUUCGGUUGGUAGUCCGAACCUAUUUGUAAAAUAGCAGUAACCUGCCCUCCUGGGUUGUCCAUUCUUUUGUAAUAAA